AGCUGGAGUGUAUUUGGUGGAGAUUUGACUUCUGCCUUCUUUCUUCUUCUUCUUUUCGCCCUGCCUUUGCGGGGUUGCAAUGCAGUAAACGUUCAAGGGCUUGAGAUGGACUCGGUUUUAAAGAUAUUCCUGAUUGCCUGCAUGCAGCCCUCAAGCAUUCCUGAAAUAGAUGACUGCAUAAAGUCCACACUGGCAGAAAGUCGAAGAUUUUUAAGAUUGUUUGCUCAAAUAAGUUUACUGUGAUUUCCCACUGAUCUUUGAAAGAAGUAAAAGAAAAUAGUUUUUAGAGGCUCCUGGACAAGUCCCUUGAAAAAGUUUUCCAGAAGUAAUUUGUCAUUGCCUGCUUUCUAGGACUGAGAGAAAGUGACUGCCCCAAGGUCACUUAACUGGCUUCCUGCUUAGGCAGGACUGGAACUCAUGGCCUCCUGUUUUCUAGUCUGAUACCACUCGAACCUCAGUCACUACUUCGCUGCAGUUUCAUCUUACUGAUUUUCUUCCUACUCUUCAGAGCAACAAAAAAUAUUAAUCCAAUCUCUAUUUUAUAUAUUAUCCUUUUAUUAUUUUGUAUGCCACCCAGGUUCACUUCAACGGUG